rnacentral:rRNA from 1 species
UGGGGAAUAUUGGACAAUGGGGGCAACCCUGAUCCAGCAAUGCCGCGUGAGUGAAGAAGGCCUUCGGGUUGUAAAGCUCUUUUGUUAGGGACGAUAAUGACGGUACCUAACGAAUAAGCUCCGGCUAACUUCGUGCCAGCAGCCGCGGUAAUACGAAGGGAGCUAGCGUUGUUCGGAAUGACUGGGCGUAAAGGGCGCGUAGGCGGCCGUGUACGUUUGAUGUGAAAGUCCUGGGCUUAACCUGGGGACUGCAUUGGAUACGGCAUGGCUAGAGUAGAAGAGGGGAAAAUGGAAUUGCGUGUGUAGAGGUGAAAUUCGUAGAUAUACGCAAGAACACCAGUGGCGAAGGCGAUUUUCUGGCUUUUAACUGACGCUAAGGCGCGAAAGCGUGGGGAGCAAACAGG